UAACCUGCCCAGAAGUAGGGGAUAACACCUGGAAACAGAUGCUAAUACCGUAUAACAGAGAAAACCGCAUGGUUUUCUUUUAAAAGAUGGCUCUGCUAUCACUUCUGGAUGGACCCGCGGCGUAUUAGCUAGUUGGUGAGGUAAAGGCUCACCAAGGCAGUGAUACGUAGCCGACCUGAGAGGGUAAUCGGCCACAUUGGGACUGAGACACGGCCCAGACUCCUACGGGAGGCAGCAGUAGGGAAUCUUCCACAAUGGACGCAAGUCUGAUGGAGCAACGCCGCGUGAGUGAAGAAGGGUUUCGGCUCGUAAAGCUCUGUUGUUAAAGAAGAACGUGGGUAAGAGUAACUGUUUACCCAGUGACGGUAUUUAACCAGAAAGCCACGGCUAACUACGUGCCAGCAGCCGCGGUAAUACGUAGGUGGCAAGCGUUAUCCGGAUUUAUUGGGCGUAAAGCGAGCGCAGGCGGUCUUUUAAGUCUAAUGUGAAAGC
rnacentral:rRNA from 1 species